GAAUAUUGGACAAUGGGGGGAACCCUGAUCCAGCCAUGCCGCGUGUGUGAAGAAGGCCUUUUGGUUGUAAAGCACUUUAAUCGAGGAGGCGGCUACUCUAGUUAAUACCUAGAGAUAGUGGACGUUACUCGCAGACUACGCCCCGGCUAACCCUGUCCCAGCAUCCGCGGUAAUACAGAGGGUGCAAGCGUUAAUCGGAUUUACUGGGCGUAAAGCGCGCGUAGGUGGCCAAUUAAGUCAAAUGUGAAAUCCCCGAGCUUCACUUGGGAGUUGCAUUCGAUACUGGUUGGCUAGAGUAUGGGAGAGGAUGGUAGAAUUCCAGGUGUAGCGGUGAAAUGCGUAGAGAUCUGGAGGAAUACCGAUGGCGAAGGCAGCCAUCUGCCCUAAUACUGACACUGAGGUGCGAAAGCAUGGGGAGCAAAC
rnacentral:rRNA from 1 species